rnacentral:rRNA from 1 species
CCGGAUUUACUGGGUGUAAAGGGAGCGUAGACGGAUGGACAAGUCUGAUGUGAAAGGCUGGGGCUCAGCCCCGGGACUGCAUUGGCAACUGCCCGUCUUGAGUGCCGGAGAGGUAAGCGGCAUUCCUAGUGUAGCGGUGAAAUGCGUAGAUAUUAGGAGGAACACCAGGGGCGAGGGCGGCUUAUUGGGCACCAACUGACGCUGAGGCUGGAAAGUGUGGGUAGCAAACAGGAUUAGAUACCCUGGUAGUCCACACCGUAAACGAUGAUUACUAGGUGUUGGAGGAUUGACCCCUUCAGUGCCGCAGUUAACACAAUAAGUAAUCCACCUGGGGAGUACGACCGCAAGGUUGAAACUCAAAGGAAUUGACGGGGGCCCGCACAAGCAGUGGAGUAUGUGGUUUAAUUCGACGCAACGCGAAGAACCUUACCAAGUCUUGACAUCCCUUGACAGGCAUAGAAAUAUGUUUUCUCUUCGGAGCAAGGAGACAGGUGGUGCAUGGUUGUCGUCAGCUCGUGUCGUGAGAUGUUGGGUUAAGUCCCGCAACGAGCGCAACCCUUAUGGUCAGUUACUACGCAAGAGGACUCUGGCCAGACUGCCGUUGACAAAACGGAGGAAGGUGGGGAUGACGUCAAAUCAUCAUGCCCUUUAUGACUUGGGCUACACACGUACUACAAUGGCGUUAAACAAAGAGAAGCGAGACCGCGAGGUGGAGCAAAACUCAGAAAACCGAUCGUAGUCCGGAUUGCAGUCUGCAACUCGACUGCAUGAAGUCGGAAUCGCUAGUAAUCGCGGAUCAGCAUGCCGCGGUGAAUACGUUCCCGGGUCUUGCACACACCGCCCGUCA